AGCACCGCCCCCAUGGUGGGGCUGGGGCCGGGAAGAUGCAUCCAUCCCCUGUUGGAAAAGGCUGGAGAGUGCUGGAGCUGAGAGCAUGUGCUGUCGCAUCGGGCCAUCUGGAUCCAGAGAUGCACGCUCGGUGACCAGCAAGUGACACCGGACAACUCAGGGAAGCUCGCCAAGCCUCAGUUUCCUCCUGGAUGAAAUAAGAACGGUGAGAAUCUUGAGACAUCAGGUAUUAAAGGAGAGCAAGUUAUGAUCAAAAUCAAGUCUGAAACCUCUUUCAACUGAUUGCCUCCCCUGUGAGUAACUCAGUAAACAACAUUGCCUAUUUUAAAAAUCAGUGAAUGGAAAUGCUGUGA